AUGGGCUGGAUCUUCCUUGUUUCACUUAUACUUGUAUGUGGAGCAUCCCAUGGCCAAGUAUUUCAACCACCCCAGAUCAGUUUAUUAGAAGGAGAUCCGGUCCAUAUAAAGUGUCAGCAGAAUGUUACUAGCAAGGAAAUGAUGAUGUGGUACAAACAGGAUCUCGAAGGAAGCCUUGGGUUUCUUGGCACUGGUUUUGAAGGUUCUGUAGAGGCUGGAACAUUUACUAUGACAUUUAAUCCAAAUGAGAGGUCCACCAGCCUUAAGAAGACUCAUGCAGAGCCUAGCGAUGCUGCUACUUAUUACUGUGCAGUGAGGGACACUGUGGUACCAGAUGAAUCUGUAGCAGUUCAGAAACUGAAAACAUUUACAAUUCACAAGUGCUGA